rnacentral:RNase_P_RNA from 1 species
CCAGUCGGUCGGACAGCCGCUGCCGCAAGUGCCGAAAGGCCGCGGGGGAGGAAAGUCCGGGCUCCAUGGAAACACGGUGCCGGGUAACACCCGGCGAGGGCGACCUUAGGGAAAGUGCCACAGAAAGCAAACCGCUCCGGCAGGGUCGAAAGGUCCUUUCGGGGUAAGGGUGAAAGGGUGGAGUAAGAGCCCACCGCGCGGCUGGUAACAGCCACGGCAUGGUAAACCCCACCGGGAGCAAAACCGAAUAGGGACAGCGCGAACGGGGAGCAAUCCCGGUUCAGGCCGGUUUCCGGGUCAGCUGUCCGGGUAGGUUGCGAGAGGUGCCUGGCAACAGGUACCCCAGAUGAAUGGCUGUCACGUCCGUGCGAACGGGCCAUACAGAACCCGGCUUACAGGCCGGCUGGCAAA